rnacentral:rRNA from 1 species
CAGCAGCCGCGGUAAUACGUAGGGUGCGAGCGUUAAUCGGAUUUACUCGGCGUAAAGCGUGCGCAGGCGGCCCGUUAAGACAGGUGUGAAAUCCCUGGGCUCAACCUAGGAAUUGCGCUUGUGACUGGCAGGCUCGAGUACGGUAGAGGGGGGUGGAAUUCCUGGUGUAGCAGUGAAAUGCGUAGAGAUCAGGAGGAACACCGGUGGCGAAGGCAGCCCCCUGGGCCUGUACUGACGCUCAUGCACGAAAGCGUGGGGAGCAAACAGGAUUAGAUACCCUGGUAGUCCACGCCCUAAACGAUGGGUACUAGCCGUUUGGUGCGCGAUAGCGCUGAGUGGCGAAGCUAACGCGUGAAGUACCCCGCCUGGGGAGUACGGCCGCAAGGUUGAAACUUAAAGGAAUUGGCGGG